GUGGGGAAUCUUCCGCAAUGGACGAAAGUCUGACGGAGCAACGCCGCGUGAGUGAAGAAGGUUUUCGUAUCGUAAAGCUCUUUCGUUAGGGACGAACGUGCUCUUUGUGAAUAAUGAGGAGUAAUGACGGUACCUAAAUAAGAAGCCACGGCUAACUACGUGCCAGCAGCCGCGGUAAUACGUAGGUGGCAAGCGUUGUCCGGAAUUAUUGGGCGUAAAGCGCGCGCAGGCGGGAUAUCAAGUCUGUCUUAAAAGUGCGAGGCUCAACCUCGUGAGGGGACAGAAACUGGUAUUCUUGAGUGUCGGAGAGGAAAGUGGAAUUCCAAGUGUAGCGGUGAAAUGCGUAGAGAUUUGGAAGAACACCAGUGGCGAAGGCGACUUUCUGGACGAUGUCUGACGCUGAGGCGCGAAAGCUAGGGGAGCGAACGGGAUUAGAUACCCGUGUAGUCC
rnacentral:rRNA from 1 species